AGCGCCGUCUCUUUGCACCUUAAC
rnacentral:siRNA from 1 species